UGAAAUUUUGCACAAAAUAGGAAGGCCACUGAAACAAGCUAAGCACGCAUUUGCACAAAAAUAGAUGAACAAACUUUGCCCAUGGCUGAACAAGUCUGAAUUUGGCACCAUAUUUCAAUAAAUGGGUGGGUCAAUCCUUAGACGGAUUAGGUGGGUCAUUUGGGCUUGAACUAAAUUUGACAGCCUUAGUUGCUGGGACACAAAUCCUCUCUGCAUAUGAUGGAUUGCGUGGAAAGUAAAGAACCAGAGAGUUCUUGAAAACACGUAUGGUUAUAUCUUUAGGUUAAAGAAUAGAUGUGUUUUCCUUAUGGCUUAUUAGGGUAAAAAUGGCUAAUGUGAAUGAUGUAGAUAGCACACUGAAUUUUCUGAGUCUGUUACAGUAGGCUGAACAGAUUUUUUUAAAUCACGAUGUGCACAAACUUAAUAAAAAGGAACGGGGAGAUUGACGGGGACGUCACCCAUCGGAUAGGAGCAGGGUGGUCGAAGUGGAGGCUUGCUUCUGGGGUCCUGUGUGACAAGAAAAUCCCACACAAACUCNN
rnacentral:lncRNA from 1 species